rnacentral:rRNA from 1 species
CCUACGGGAGGCAGCAGUGGGGAAUAUUGCUCAAUGGGGGAAACCCUGAUGCAGCAACGCCGCGUGAGGGAAGAAGUAUUUCGGUCUGUAAAGCUCUAUCAGCCGGGAAGAAGAUGACGGUCCCUGAGUCAGACGCGCCUGCUAACUACGUGCCAACCGCCUCGGUAAUGAGUAGCGGGCAAGCGGUCUCCGGAUUUACUGGGUGUAUAGGGAGCGUAGACGGUGAGACAGGUCUUAGGGGAAAGCCCGGGGCUCAACCCCGGGACUGCUUUGGAAACUGCCUGACUGGAGUGCUGGAGAGGCAGGCGGAAUGCCUAGUGUAGCGGUGAAAUGCGUAGAUAUUAGGAAGAACACCGGUGGCGAAGGCGGCUUGCGGGACAGUAACUGACGCUGAGGCACGAAAGCGUGGGGAGCAAACAGGAUUAGAUACCCGUGUAGUC